AGGACGAACGCUGGCGGCGUGCUUAACACAUGCAAGUCGAGCGGAAAGGCCCUUCGGGGUACUCGAGCGGCGAACGGGUGAGUAACACGUGAGCAACCUGCCCUUAGCUCUGGGAUAGCUCCGGGAAACCGGAAUUAAUACCGGAUAUGACCUAGGCCGACAUCGGCCGUGGUGGAAAGUUUUUCGGCUAGGGAUGGACUCGCGGCCUAUCAGCUAGUUGGUGGGGUAAUGGCCUACCAAGGCGACGACGGGUAGCCGGCCUGAGAGGGCGACCGGCCACGACUGGGACUGAGACACGGCCCAGACUCCUACGGGGGGCUGCAGUAACGAAUCUUCCGCAAUGCACGAAAGUGUGACGGAGCGACGCCGCGUGUGGGACGAAGUUCUUCGGAAUGUAAACCACUGUCAGGGGUUAGAAAGUUCUGAUCAACCCCAGAGGAAGGCACGGCUAACUCUGUGCCAGCAGCCGC
rnacentral:rRNA from 1 species